AAGGGAUUAGGAUUAGGUUUUAAAUGCGGUUCUCCACUCCACUCUACCGAGUCACUAAAUAAGUGACUCUAACUCUACCAACUGUACUAUCCGGUCAAACCACCCACAGUCUAUGCUAUGGGGCUGUGACGGCCGAUCACAAAUAUGUGUACCGCGCUGAUUACCGCGUUGUCCACCACUGCUUUACCCCUACUGCUCUCGUGCCUUCCCCAGGCUCGAGGAAUCCAGGUUUCAGGGGUCUUCCCCUCAAAGGUGGUGCUGGGUGGUGUCUUCUUUUUUCUUACAACAUAUCAUUUUCAUUGUCAAGAUAUAUUGCUUGGAAGUGUCUCAUAUCUUCCGUGACUUGCCCACGUUUCGAUAUCGAGACCAUACCUCAAGAGCCUUGGUCAUUCAUACUAUUGUCGUUGGCACAUGACCUGCUGCCUGCUAGAUCCAGCAGCUUCGCUGGCAGGGCAUCUUGGCGUGGCAUCAUAGCAGUGUUCGUGGAUGCAAGUUUGAGCGCAGCUCUUAGCCAAGUUGCUGUAGGACUGUGCUGCAGAUUCACAUUCAUAUAGAUAAUCAAGUAUGCGGGCUAAUCAAGCCUCUGCAAAGUGUGACAAUUAGUGUUGGAAUCCAGGGUAUCUCAAAUCUUGAUUCCCGGGAUGCUGGCUCUUUAUGUUCUAAUAUCCUGGAAUAUGUAGUAACAAUCCUGGGAUUUUGGGACUUGAGAGGAACACUUAACACCUGGUAAACUCUAGAAUAAGUAAGAGUUGUUUAAUAUCGCACAUUUGUUUGAACGAUCUACAAUUCCUUAGCUGCCUCUAGGACACUUUGAUAGUGUACGCAUAUUUCCUUGCCUUGUGCCAAUGAGCGUGCUCAGUUGCUGAUGCCUGUGACACACGCACUGGAGCUCCGUGUAUUGCUUUGCUCUUCGGAGGGUUUAUCAACUGUGUCAAACCGACUGUGUGGUGCAGUGUGCACAAACAACAGCAAAAGGAGAAAUAAAAAGACUGGAGUUUGGA